UGUUGUAUUGAUAUUUUCAGGCUAGCAUUGGAGCUUGCUCAGGAGUUGUCUGUAACGCGGGCACCGUGUGUUUAACACUCACUCAGGGAGGAUACAGCUGUGUCGUCACGGAUCGUUGGUGCCCGACCUAUAUAAAUGGACGAUGUUACACACUCAGUGACAAUGUCGCCAAGUGGAGUUUUGCCAAGAUUGCCUGCGAGAGAAAUGGCUAUUCCUUAGCUACAGUAGAUUCGGCGGAUUUAUUACUGACAUUGUCAAAUGGUCUACCUACAGGAAUCAGGGUGUUCGUUGGAGGCACCAACAUCGCAAAUGAAACACAGUGGUUUUGGACAGACGGAAAUAUCCCUAUAGAUUUUACAGGAAUUCCGCACUACCUGCAAUAUGACCUGGAACAUAAGGAUUGUCUCGCGAUAGAAGUCAGUGAUUCCAUAAAGCUGGUAGACAGCAACUGUGCUCAUGAGUUUUUAUACAUGUGUCAAUCACCACUUAUCAAGUAAGGGAUGUCAUUAUAUGAAGAGUUCCAUUCUUAGAUUUAUAUAAAAUAAGUGGCGUAAUAAGGUAGCAUAUCCAUCAAUCCCUACAAAUCUGACAAACGAAUACUGUUGUGCUUAGAUAUAUUGCACAAGUUGUAAUUUUCAAAGGUUAACAACAGUGCUUUCGAC